rnacentral:rRNA from 1 species
UAGGGAAUCUUCGGCAAUGGGGGCAACCCUGACCGAGCAACGCCGCGUGAGUGAAGAAGGUUUUCGGAUCGUAAAGCUCUGUUGUAAGUCAAGAACGGGUGUGAGAGUGGAAAGUUCACACUGUGACGGUAGCUUACCAGAAAGGGACGGCUAACUACGUGCCAGCAGCCGCGGUAAUACGUAGGUCCCCGAGCGUUGUCCGGAUUUAUUGG